rnacentral:rRNA from 1 species
UAAUACGAAGGGUGCAAACGUUGCUCGGAAUUAUUGGGCGUAAAGCGCACGUAGGCGGCUUAGCAAGUCGGAUGUGAAAUCCCUCGGCUCAACCAAGGAAGUGCAUCCGAAACUGCUGAGCUUGAGUACGAAAGAGGAUCGCGGAAUUCCCGGUGUAGAGGUGAAAUUCGUAGAUAUCGGGAGGAAC